AACGUAGGUACCGAGCGUUAUCCGGAUUUACUGGGCGUAAAGCGUGUUCAGGCGGCCUGGCAAGUCGGGCAUGAAAUCUCUCGGCUCAACCGAGAGAGGCUGUCCGAUACUGCUGGGCUUGAGGACGGUAGAGGGUGGUGGAAUUCCGCGUGUAGUGGAUGAAAUGCGUAGAUAUGCGGAGGAACACCAGUGGCGAAGGCGGCCACCUGGACCGUCCCUGACGCUCAAACACGAAAGCUAGGGUAGCGAACGGG
rnacentral:rRNA from 1 species